GGAUUGNAAAUGGGGGCACCCUGAUCCAGCNAUGCCGCGUGGGUGAAGAAGGUCUUCGGAUUGUAAAGCCCUUUCGGCGGGGACGAUGAUGACGGUACCCGCAGAAGAAGCCCCGGCUAACUUCGUGCCAGCAGCCGCGGUAAUACGAAGGGGGCUAGCGUUGCUCGGAAUGACUGGGCGUAAAGGGCGCGUAGGCGGUUCGGACAGUCNGAUGUGAAAUUCCUGGGCUUAACCUGGGGGCUGCAUCCNAUACNGCCGGACUGGAGUGGGGAAGAGGGUUGUGGAAUUCCCAGUGUAGAGGUGAAAUUCGUAGAUAUUGGGAAGAACACCGGUGGCGAAGGCGGCNACCUGGUCCUUGACUGACGCUGAGGCGCGAAAGCGUGGGGAGCAAACAGGAUUAGAUACCCUGGUAGUCCACGCUGUAAACGAUGUGUGCUGGAUGUUGGCUGACCUACUCAGUCAGUGUCGNANCUAACGCGGUAAGCACACCGCCUGGGGAGUACAGCCGCAAGGUUGAAACUCAAAAAAAUUGACGGA
rnacentral:rRNA from 1 species